rnacentral:tRNA from 5 species
UCCCUGAUAGCUCAGCGGUAGAGCACUCGACUGUUAAUCGAGCGGCCGUAGGUUCGAAUCCUACUCAGGGAGCCA